GGAGGUCCGCGAGGCUG
rnacentral:misc_RNA from 1 species